CAAUAGCGUAUAUUAAAGUUGUUGCAGUUAAAAAGCUCGUAGUUGGAUUUGUGGCUGGCGUGAGCGGCCUAGCACCCAGUGCCAGCGCUUUGCUCGCGUCGCCAUCUUUGGGUGGAACCUGUGUGGCAUUAGGUUGUCGUGCAGGGGAUGCCCAUCUUUUACUGUGAAAAAAUUAGAGUGUUCAAAGCAGGCUUAUGCCGUUGAAUAUAUUAGCAUGGAAUAAUGAGAUAGGACCUUGGUACUAUUUUGUUGGUUUGCGCAUCAAGGUAAUGAUUAACAGGGACAGUUGGGGGUAUUUGUAUUCCAUUGUCAGAGGUGAAAUUCUUGGAUUUUUGGAAGACAAACUACUGCGAAAGCAUUUACCAAGGAUGUUUNCAUUAA
rnacentral:rRNA from 1 species